AAUAGAUACCCCGGUAGUCCACGCCGUAAACGAUGAGUGCUAAGUGUUAGAGGGUUUCCGCCCUUUAGUGCUGCAGCUAACGCAUUAAGCACUCCGCCUGGGGAGUACGGUCGCAAGACUGAAACUCAAAGGAAUUGACGGGGGCCCGCACAAGCGGUGGAGCAUGUGGUUUAAUUCGAAGCAACGCGAAGAACCUUACCAGGUCUUGACAUCCUCUGACAACUCUAGAGAUAGAGCGUUCCCCUUCGGGGGACAGAGUGACAGGUGGUGCAUGGUUGUCGUCAGCUCGUGUCGUGAGAUGUUGGGUUAAGUCCCGCAACGAGCGCAACCCUUGAUCUUAGUUGCCAGCAUUCAGUUGGGCACUCUAAGGUGACUGCCGGUGACAAACCGGGAGGAAGGUGGGGAUGACGUCAAAUCAUCAUGCCCCUUAUGACCUGGGCUACACACGUGCUACAAUGGAUGGUACAAAGGGCUGCAAGACCGCGAGGUCAAGCCAAUCCCAUAAAACCAUUCUCAGUUCGGAUUGUAGG
rnacentral:rRNA from 1 species